rnacentral:lncRNA from 1 species
AGCCAAAAAAAAUCAAAAACAAGUUUGAGUAAUAAAAGUUUCUCUUCUCCAAAAUCUUUCUACUCUUCCAAAAAUCCCUUAGCCUAAAAGUCUCCCUCCAAAUAUUAAUAGCAAUCAUCUUCCAACAGUCUCACUAUUAGUUGCAGCUAAAAACAACUUUUAGCCAAGCAGUUUUUCAACUUGAUAUUUUCUCCAAACCUGCAAAAAUAUGAGAUUAGCAAACCUAUAGUAAGACAAAUAGAAGAAAAAUAUUCCUUAACAUACCAAGAAAAAUGUUUCUUAACACACCAAGAAAAUGUCUUUGAGAGAAGUAUGGAAAUUUAAGUGAUUUAGGGUUUUUACUUCUAUGAGGAGUGAGGGAGAUGACACUUGACAGUAGAUUUAGGUUAGAUAAAAGUUAGAGUUUUUAGGUUAAUUUUAUUAUGUUGUAUUCCACUUUUGGGUAUGGCGCCACUUUCUCCCGGUAAAUCUUAUAAUUAAGGACAGUUUUUUUAUUUCUAUUUCAUAUUUUAAUAAAAAAACUAGAGAUUUAAGGACCAUUUGUACUCUCGUCCUUACUAGUGUAAGACCAGAUUCAUACCUCGUCACUAGAUGUUGGUCCGUAAAAAGUCUUUUUCUUGUAGUGUACAUCAUAUUCCUUGUAGUGCUAAGGUCGUUAAUUUAUUUCUGUAAUUGAUACAAUUUUUCUCCAU